ACCUAUGCCGCUUCACGUACUUCGUAUCUCAAUUAGUACAUUUGUUCUCUCCCCGGGAAGUUUGUACUGAAGCCGAAGCCGAACCAGAAACACUAGCUGAUGGCCUCCUAGGACCAGGCCCCCCGCAGACGCCUACCCCACCCCCUACCCCCGGGCGGAACACGCCCUCAGUUACAGCCCUUCGGCCAGAGCCUUAGGUAACCUUGAUUCCGGGUCGGCAGCGGCCACAGCCCGCAGCGCUAGCGGCCUCGGCGGACCUCCUGCCGGCAGCGCGGCCCAGUGCACGCCGGUCCCACUGCCGGGCGCCAGCCGCCCACUCCGCAGCAGCCGCUCCGCUCUCGACCGCGCCGUUCCGCCCGUCGGCCAGCGGCCCGCCCAUGCUCUUGGCCACCAGGAGAGCUAGCCAGCUUUUCCACAGCCUCUUUCCUGUCCCGAGAAUGGGCGACUCCGCCUCUAAGAUCGUCAGCCCCCAGGAGGCAUUGCCGGGCCGGAAGGAGCCGAUCCCCGUCGCGGCCAAACAUCAUGUCAAUGGCAAUAGAACAGUUGAACCUUUCCCAGAGGGAACACAGAUGGCUGUAUUUGGAAUGGGCUGUUUCUGGGGAGCUGAGAGGAAAUUCUGGACUAUGAAAGGAGUAUAUUCAACUCAAGUUGGUUAUGCUGGAGGCUACACUUCCAAUCCUACUUAUAAAGAAGUUUGUUCAGGAAAAACUGGCCAUGCAGAAGUAGUCCGAGUGGUGUACCAGCCAGAACGCAUCAGCUUUGAGGAACUGCUCAAGGUCUUCUGGGAGAAUCAUGACCCGACCCAAGGCAUGCGCCAAGGCAAUGACCAUGGUUCUCAAUACCGCUCAGCCAUCUAUCCAACCUCUACCAAGCACCUGGAGGUGGCCCUGAGAUCUAAAGAAGACUACCAGAAGAAGCACAUGCCCAACUGGGAGAGACCUGUGACCAAAGACAACAACACAGUGGAGCUUCUUGGAGCAUCUGGGCACAAGGUUAAAGAGACUCGACCCUAUUACGCUGACUCCCAUUUUGGACAAGGGUGCACGAAUCUUGACAGAUGCAGCAUUUGGUACUCGAAGUGGUUCCAGGAAGUUCAGCUACAAAGAUGGAAAUCUAAGAUGCAUUGUCAAGGCCUGGUUUGAUUUGAAUGCAAUAAUGACCUCGUCACUAGCAGAAAAUGGGAUUCAGGAAGUCCAUGGCUGAAGAUGCUGUGACACAUGAACCAUCUGGGGAAGAUUGACUACACUUGGCCCCUUCUUCUGUGGAAUAGGCAGCGAUUUUUUAUCAUAGUAAUAGAAAUUUAUUUUUGUAUUUGGAUGUACCCACCUUGACCACAUAUUUCUGCCACCCCAUCACACAUGACUUACUAAAUGCUUAGUUAUUCAGCAUAUGGUUUUCCAUUUGGCAUAACUUCUGACCAACUGGUUAUAAUGCAACAGAAGCGAUGCCUGUGAGAUUCACUGAUCUUAACAUGAAUCCCAGCACCCAGAAGCAGCAUGCCUGCCAGAACAGCGGAAUGGCUUACUGAAGUUUCCAUAAGUGAGCCUGCUGAGAUCUAACAACGCAUGAGGUUGGAGUGCUCUUUUACAAGGUAUAGUAUAUAUUAAAAACUAGUUUCAACAGAUUGCACCAAUUCUCCUAUGGCUAGAAAACAUGGGUGUGUAAAUCAAAGGAUAAAAAUGGGCCUGACUCCAAUCACUAGCUACCUAAUGAUCCAUUCAAAAAAUGUACUUUGUUUCACACAAUGUUGAGCUUUGAAGGCUUAGAAACCUUAGUUCUCAAAGGAGGAGUGCUUCUGCUUCCAGGAGACACAAUGGAUCUAUUGACCUGUGAAUUGAGACUGCUACCUGGCUGUGUGGGGCUCUCCAUGUCAUUGAACCAAGAGACAAAGAAAGAAAGAGUUAAUGUGUAGACUGAAAUGAUCGACCCCGACUAUCAAGAGAAGAACUUUAUUGCAAGUAGAGUUUAGACAAGGAGGAGUCUGUGAAAUCCUUCAGAGAUGCUCUUAGAAUUUCAUUAUCCAAAAGGAGAAAUGGAAAACUAUAGCAACUCAAUACCGGCAAAACCACCAAGAGCUCAGAAAUGAAAAUUUGGGUUACACCACCAAGCAAAGAACCACUAUCAGCUGAGCUUCAUUCAAGUUGGAUGAAGGAAUUCACACAUACUGGCUAUGGCCCAGGUUGUAUACUCAAGAAAUGUAGUAUCUGCCUACAUUUUCAUAUUUGUAUAUGCCUAUUUCCUUUUUUCGUUCCUUUUCCAGGUGUUGGUGAUCAUUAAAUUUAUUAUUUAGUCUUUAGAAACAAGAUUGGGAUGGCCAAGGAGGUGCACCAUUCAGAUCUGCUUUGAGAGAAAGUGGUGCAGGGAGUGUAGUUGAUAACAGCUCUCAGCUGCUACUCCUUUGAAUCCAUCAUGGCAGUCAGGGUGAGAACACCCUUCUUUUGGGCUGCACCCAAGCAAUGGCUGAGAGUGACAUGCAGAGGAUGCUAGAUCAGGUCCAUUACUACUACUCAGUGUGGCAAUCUUUGCUCAAGAUCUCCCAUCAAUUUUAUCAAGACUUUCUCAGACCUGCAAGGGGGUUUGAAGACAUCCUGCCUACUGUCACUUCCUCGCUUUUUAUUCUUCCUAGGUACUUUCCCCAAUAAAUCCCUUUCACAUAUAAUUCUGCAUUAGCACCUGCUUCUUGGCAGAUCCAAAGUGACACAAAGACAUAAGUGGGAAUUUCUAAAGGAGAAAUGAUUAUCACCCAGAGAUGGAUGAUGUGAUUUAUGAGACUUUUGCUUCCCACUAUGGGGAAAAGGAUCAGAUUGCUUUUGUUUAUAUGAAGCAUAUUUGUAUUAUGCUUAGCAAAAGACUGCUAUUGUUUUUAUUCUUAUUUUCUAGAAUUUUUUAACAUAGUAGAAGGUUGCAUGUGUAUGCUGAGAAACCAAAGUGGUGUGGGUUUGCUAGAUAUAGUGUCUAGUAGCAUUUGAAAUUCAGUUUCCUAAAGCCUAAAUCUCCAUUUUUGUGUGUCAUGAGAUCUGGAAGCCUAUGAAUUGCUAUUCCCAGCUCCCUUGCACUGACAGUUUCGAUGUGAUUCAAGGUCCAAUGAGGUACACUUGCUAAUACUUGAGAUGCAGAAGGAAGGCAGUUGCAGUGGCAGCUGAAACUGGACUCCAGUAGAGUCUAGUUUUUACAGUGGCCUAACUCUGCAUUCCCUUCUUGUCUUUAGCCUCAGAGCUACAAGACAGCUGGGCAGGUGAAAGAGGAAGCUGUUUUCUGCUUCUUCCCAAUUACUGGCUGCAGCACCAGCCUCUUGGUCUCAGGUCAGAGCCACAAAGAUGUGGCCUGAAAAGGAGCAAGAGACCCAUGACUUCUGCUUAUAAAAUCAUGGGAUAAUUGGAGAAACAACCCCAUAACUAAACCUGCUUUCGUAGUGAGUUUCUAUCUGCUACCUUUACCCCGCACUGUUUUAUUCUCUUAUCCUUAUUUUCUCUUUAACCAUCUCUCAUAAGUACUAGUUUUACCAUUCCAUAUGCAUUUUGCUUUCAAAAUGAGAAGAGAUUAUAAACACUUCAAAUGUCUUUCUUUUCUCCUUUUCAUUUACUUUUAUAAAUUAUGGUAAGGUGUUGAAGACAAAAAUGGGACAAAUAAUAAUAUAAUAAACAUCAUGUAUACUUCACACUUUAAGAACAAAAACACUAUGAACCCACUUGAAGGUCUCCGUGGGUCUCUCCAUCUCCUCCAGUCAUAGUAAAUGGCCUGAACUGUGUAUUUAUAUUUCCCUUGAAUUUAUAAUUUUUCUAUAUCUGAAUAUAUACUAAGCAAUGGUAAUGUCUUGCAUAUUUCAAAAAUGUAUAGAAAGGGUUAUCAUAGUUAGCAUAUUCUUCUGCACCUUGCUUUUGCCUGUGAUUGUGAACUAUGUUGAUCAGUUUAACUCUAGUUCCUGUAUGUUAUCACCUAAAUGGUAUUCUGUUGUAUGGCUAUACUAAAACUCAGUUAUUUGUGCCUAUGAUGAUGAACAUUUAUGUUUUUCUCUAAUUUUUUAUUACACACUGUGAUGCUGUAGAUAUACCUACAUAAAUGCCUUCUAAGUUUUAAAUUAUAUGCUUUUAAAUAUUAAAAAAUGUUAGUGAAGAUCUAUUAAUGAUAAACCAUUUUUAAAAUCUGUUUUACAUUAAUGAUUUUGGUUGUCAACAAUUUAAAUACUUUUUGGUGUCAACAAUUUAAAUAUGGUGGUUAUUUUCUCUCAGCACUUUGGUGAUUCCAUUAUCUUUAGGCUUCCAUUGUUGCUGCUGAGAAGUCUACUGGUUUGCUGUAUUUUUAUAAGUACAUUUUCUCUUGUCUGUGCUGAUUUUAAGAUUUUCUCUGUCUCUGUUAUUUUGCCAUUUCACUAAAAUGUGUUUGUCUAUAAAUUCUGCUGCAGGUUUGAGCUUUCCUGAAUUGGUGGAUUAAUUUCUUUCAUCAAUUACAGGAAAUUCUUGGUCAUUUGAUUCAUUGACUAUUUCCCUUUCUCCAUCUUUUCUAUUCUCUCCUUCUGAAAACUUCAGUAGCCAUAUGUUAGAGCCUUUCAAUUUAUCCUCCUUGUUUUGUAACUUUUUUCUCACAUUUCUCAUGUGUUGUUUUGUUUUUUUAGCAUUCCACAUAAUUUCUUUAGAUCCAUCUACUGGUUUACUGAUUCUAUUUCUUUUUUCUAUUUACUUUUUUUAAAGUCUGUUUAUUUUAAGAGAACGAGCGAGACAGCACAAGUCGGGAAGUGGGGAAGGAGGAGAGAGAGAAUCCCAAGCAGGUUCCGCACCACCAGUGCAGAGCCCAAUGUAGGGCUUGACCUCUCAAACCAUGAGAUCAUGACCUGAGCCAAAGUCAGAUGCUUAACCAAUAAGGUGCCCCAACUGAUUCUACUUAUUUCCAUAAAUUCUAUUUGAUUCUUUUUUGAUUUUGCCUGGCCAUUUUUUGUAGUAUUUUGUUUGUAGUCUCAAGUUUUCAAUUCCUUCCUUUUUGUAAUGUAAUUAUUUAUAUUCAUUAUCUAAUAACGUAAAUAUCUGAAGGCUUUAGGUAUACAAUCUUCUGUUUUUCCUGCUCUUUCUCAUGGUGGCUUAUUUCCUAUAUGAGUUCAGCAACUUUGCAUUUUGAACUCAUGACUGGCUAAACUUAAUCUGUGGGCAUCUGUAAGGAACUCUGAUUAGAGCUGCCAGUUUAGGGGGAAAAAACAAGAUACCUAGUUAAGUUUGAUUUUCAGAUAAACAACUAAUACUUUUGUGUGUAUUUCUCAGAUAUGUCAUGCUGCAUACUGAGACAUUUUUUCAUUGUUUAUCUGAAAUUCAAAUUUAACUUUGUGACAUGCAUCUUAUCUGGCAGCCCUACCUAUGCUGAACAUACAAGUCUCUAGAGGAGAGUCGUUCUUCUUUCUGAGAGAUUUCCUGGGAUACACACAACUGGGACCACUUUAAUUUUUCACUUUGGUAUUUUCUGGGCUAUGUACAAAGUUAACUUGGAGCUGUAACACACUUAUGAGGAUAGGGUCAUGUUUACCAUUUCUCUGAUAACCCUUCCCCAUCUGUUACUGAAGCUAAAACAAAGAACAAUCUUUUGCCAGAGGAGUUUUUUGUUUUCCUAGCCUACACUUUCCCUGAGCUUAUAAGUGUCCAUUCUUUAAGUGUCCCUGUAAGUGUCCUUUCUUUGCAAAUGGUUCUCAGUUCAUACAACCUACCUUCCAAAAGCUCAAGUCUUUGUCCCCCACAUGACCAUUAAAAUUCAAGAGUCUAGAUUUAUGCAACCUGUUCAUAUAAUGUAAUUCUCUAGACCUCUUGUUGGCCUUUAAUUCUGGAUAACAACUCUGGACUCCUUCUGUUUUGUGUUUGACUUCCUAAACUCUUCCUUACUUUCUUAUGGGAUCAGCUAUGCACUUUGAAGGAUGUUUGUUGAAUUUUAGCCUUCAUUUUUAGAUGUUUGCUAAAAAGAAAGUUUUUCAAAUUU